UCGCACCAGGCAGAAAGCUGAGUUUUCGCUUUUAUAACGGUUAGGCGAACAACUUGAGCAGACAGUAUAUAUCGCUUGGCCAGAUGAUGUCUGAGCAAGUCACGGACACUAGUUGUUGCAUGCAGUCUGUAGUAGUUCACGGAAGCUACCUGAGUGUAGAGAGAGCUCCUCCAUGUCCUCUGCAUCAAGAGAGCAACACUCCACAGUGCAGGCAACUAGUGGGCUGCUGCAGCAUCAGAGUUGCUCCAUGCUGUCAGGAACAACAAGCAUCUUUCUCCUCUCCAGGUGCACAGGCUGCAUCCCAAGGCGAUGUUGCUCUGGACUCUACCCCUCACAACUACACACUCAGAAGGAUAGUGACAGGCCUCAUAGUCAGAGUGGACCUCUUGAGAUUCUGUACACACUAGCAGAGAGCAACCCAACGCCCACCAACUCUAGCACAUGCAGGCACAUGUUUCCGACAUGGAACAAGAAUUGUUGCACUUCACUGCACAUACCAUGUUUUUUUUAUGUCGAACUCAUUUUUUUGAUAAUUAUUUUGUACGUUGUCAUUGUUACAGAAGUGGACUGUUUACCAUUAUAAUGCUGUCAACAUAAUUUUUUUUUGUCGAACUU